GGUUGCGUGGCCGAGUGGUCUAAGGCGUAGGAUUAAGGCUCCUAUCCGAAAGGGCGCAGGUUCGAACCCUGCCGCAGCCA